rnacentral:rRNA from 1 species
GACGAACGCUGGCGGCGUGCCUAAUACAUGCAAGUAGAACGCACAGUUUAUACCGUAGCUUGCUACACCAUAGACUGUGAGUUGCGAACGGGUGAGUAACGCGUAGGUAACCUGCCUGGUAGCGGGGGAUAACUAUUGGAAACGAUAGCUAAUACCGCAUAAUAUUAAUUAUUGCAUGAUAAUUAAUUGAAAGGUGCAAUUGCACCACUACCAGAUGGACCUGCGUUGUAUUAGCUAGUAGGUGAGGUAACGGCUCACCUAGGCGACGAUACAUAGCCGACCUGAGAGGGUGAUCGGCCACACUGGGACUGAGACACGGCCCAGACUCCUACGGGAGGCAGCAGUAGGGAAUCUUCGGCAAUGGACGAAAGUCUGACCGAGCAACGCCGCGUGAGUGAAGAAGGUUUUCGGAUCGUAAAGCUCUGUUGUAAGAGAAGAACGGGUGUGAGAGUGGAAAGUUUACACUGUGACGGUAUCUUACCAGAAAGGGACGGCUAACUACGUG